rnacentral:rRNA from 1 species
CCUACGGGUGGCAGCAGUGGGGAAUAUUGGGCAAUGGGCGCAAGCCUGACCCAGCAACGCCGCGUGAAGGAAGAAGGCUUUCGGGUUGUAAACUUCUUUUCUCAGGGACGAAUCAAGUGCCGGUACCUGAGGAAUAAGCCACGGCUAACUACGUGCCAGCAGCCGCGGUAAUACGUAGGUGGCAAGCGUUAUCCGGAUUUACUGGGUGUAAAGGGCGUGUAGGCGGGAAAGCAAGUCAGAUGUGAAAGCCAUGGGCUAAACCUGUGGCCUGCAUUUGAAACUGUUUUUCUUGAGUGCUGGAGAGGCAGACGGAAUUCCUAGUGUAGCGGUGAAAUGCGUAGAUAUUAGGAGGAACACCAGUGGCGAAGGCGGUCUGCUGGACAGCAACUGACGCUGAGGCGCGAAAGCGUGGGGAGCAAACAGGAUUAGAUACCCCAGUAGUC